UCUGUUGCUUUUGGAAGAAGCUAAUGCUCUGUCUGACGUGGCACCCCAUCUCUAAUAAUAGCCAAAGCUGGAUGCUUCAGAAGAAAAAGUAUAAAAUCCAAAAUAAUACCCUUCGCUCUGCAACAUCUCCUGGGGAGGAGUUUCUGUCUAACUCCACUUGUUUAAGCCUUGAGAGCUAACGAUUUUCAAUUGGUUAAAGUCUUGAGCAGGGAAGCCACAAGAGUUUCUAUUUAGGCCAUUUCCCUCUCCUAGCAUCUUGCUAAGAAAUACCUGGGCAGAGGAAGGAAGAAAAGUGACUCAGGAAGGGUUUGCAGUUGUACUGGCAACAAGGGUGACCUGUCAGACACUGCAAUAUACUAGUAAAAGAGAGAUGCACACGACAACUGGUCCCACUCUCGCCAGAGCUGCCAGUAACAGCCAGCUCAGGUUUUCCCCACAGGGUCAUUUCAGUGAUGACAGGAAUGCCUACCACUUACAUGAUACUGUUCUUUUGCAGGGUGCUGUGCAGACAUUAAUGAAGCCUCAGAACAGUCCCAUUUCACAGUUGGGGAAACUGAGAAGUUAAGUGACUUUCUCCAGACCCCACACCAAGCCAGUGGCAGUGCCAGGACUAGAACUCAGAACCUAGGCAUGCUGCAAACUGAAAUGGAAAUGGAGACUAUGUACACAGGGAUAACUCCGUCCACUAGCGAAGUGGUGAUAAGAUGCAGGGUGAAACAAGGAAGCUGUUUAACAACAUGCAGCAAAGCUAUACAACCGGUUAGCAAGUGAAGAAGAAUUCUUUGUCUUGCUGAAGCUGCAAGAGAAUUAAAGAAAGCAGAACAUAAUUACCUACGCUGGAAUGUGGCCAAAUCACUUUUACAACUGUUCCCUGUACAAAGAUUUCCAUGGGAACUUUAAUGAUCACAAGUGGUCAGGACCCCAACAGCACCUGCAACAGCCUAGCACCAUGCUGAUGUAUUGGUUCUGCACUCACUCAGAAAGAAGCAGUGUCGCCAUGGCCCACAUCUCCAGCAUCACUACCUGCAGCAUCUAGGCAUCCCCUGGAGGUCUCCUAUUCAAGCACUGAACUGGCCUGACCUUCUAACAACAUCACAGCACAAAGCAGUAUUGUCUGCUGCACGACCCUACAUAGGUCACUUGAUCAAACUGAAGGUGCCAGCCAGAAAAAUGGAUUCCAAUUUGUUUUCCUUGAAUCGAAUAGCAAAAUAAUUCUAUAUACCUUGCAGACACAGCACCCUCCCAAAAAUAAAUAAAAAGAGAGAUUUCCAAGGGACUGCCCAUUUCAGGACAGCAAUUAUUUCUGUUUAAAGCUCUAAUGGGUGUUGUGUGUUUGUGUUUUGGAACUUUAAGAUGAUGACUGGCCAGAAUGCAGCUUGGCCAGUCAUUAACAACCUUCUGAUGACUGCAACAUACUAUCUGCAGGACAGCACUGAAGGCCAGAAUGAUUAAUGCCCAGGGAUGCACCAGUUUUGAAACCGCAACUGGGAGAACCUGAAAGUCAAGACAGGAAGGGAGUCCUUGCAACGCCAACAGGAAUGCUGAGGUCACAGACAAGACUGCUUUGGUGCUACCCUCCCUUCCUUUUAAAGCCGGUCUGACAAGAAAAGCUGUCUGAAAUGAGCUGCCAACGCUGACCCGAACCCGCAUUCUUUGGGGAAAAACAAGUUUUGUCUAACGUGUUUCACCCAGCUCCACUGACAAGUGACAAGACAACACUGCAGAUGGUCUUCUGCUGACUGAGUCUCCCACCAGACUCUGCCUACAGGGAAAGAGUCACAGAAAGGGGUGAUGCUUGCAGGAAGGGAUGCAACAUCCAGGGAUCUGCGUGGGAGAGGGAUCAUGUGCCAAUAUGCGGCAUGUGACAUUGAGCAGUGCUCACUAACAGCAGGGAAGCUGGUUUCUGUAGCUCUCAUGCUAUUUGCAAAAGAAAAUCCCAGCUCAUGAUGUCAAGUCAUAAAAGCAGCCAAGACUGUGGACACCUCUCUAACAACAGGUUAGGGAUGCUACACAUCACAUCACAUUCUGCUGAACAGAAUGCCAAGUAAGGAUUCAAGGUACCCAACUGGUGAAUGUUGUUGACUUGUAGGCAAGGCUCUCCCAGAGGCUUUAUGGCACGUUUGUAAGCAAGAGUCCUAUGAUGCUUUGUAGUAAUGUUAAGAGGGGAAAAGUACUGGCUUAUGACAACCUUUGUCAUAUUUCCUAAGAGCUAAUAAGUAUUUUUAAACAUACUAACCACAAUAACAGAGUUAUGAGUUAGCCAAAUGUGAAGGAUAAAUCACAGAUGUUCAGUCAUGCAGUUGGACAUUUAUAAAAAUGUAAUGAGUUAGGAAAUAUAAUAAAAUAAAAUGUCUGCAGGCUGGGGAAAAAGAAAACUACAGUAAUGAAAUUUAAACAAGUUGGGUAUAAUAGACAAAACCAAGACAGUAUUAAAAAAAAUGGCAUCAGGUUGCAAGGCAUGGUUCUACAAACUUGGUAAUAUAUAUACUUCUCUUUUGCACUAACCAUUGCUUAAUAAAUCAAAUCAAACUAAGUUACUUAAGGUCCCUUACUUAAUUACAUUUGAACCUGUAAUACUUCAUUACAUUGAUUAGCAAUGUAUAAGGCAUUUAUUAUCUAGUAAUACUCUAUACAUUCCAACUGAACCAACAUCAUUGGUAAAGAGAUCCCUGCUUUCAGCUUGCAAUAGCAAUACUCAUGCAAUUGCAUGGCACUUCCUGAAGAUUAAUGACCUGAGGGGAGCAGUCCACGUGACUAUUAACCCCAGAAAAACCCUGCAGUUAUUGACAAGUCAGCAUAUUCCUUUCCCAAAAGGGGAGACAUUGCAGAAUUUCUUGCAGAUUUCUAGGAUGAACGGUUCACACUGGCAGAAAGCCUGACUGUGCGUAGCUUCCAGCUGCAUGAGUAAUGCGCUGUAAAGAACCGAAUGUUUAGAACCAAAAAUAAAAACGGAAAUGUCACUGAGAGAAUGAGACAGAACUGGAAAAGGACGCGAGCGUGCCUUUGCCACUUUAAAUAAGACAACAAAGCCAGGAAGGUGCAGCCUCCCACUGGGGCAACUCCUACCCUAUCAUGAGUGCUUAGGGCGGGGCAGGCAAACUUUUUGGCCUGAGGGCCGCAUCGCGUUUCAGA